rnacentral:rRNA from 1 species
UACGGAGGGUGCGAGCGUUGUCCGGAAUCAUUGGGCGUAAAGGGCGCGUAGGUGGCCCGGUGAGUCUUUGGUGAAAGCGCGGGGCUCAACCCUGCGUCGGCCAGGGAUACUGCCGCGGCUCGAGCACUGUAGAGGCAGGCGGAAUUCCGGGUGUAGCGGUGGAAUGCGUAGAGAUCCGGAAGAACACCGGUAGCGAAGGCGGCCUGCUGGGCAGUGGCUGACGCUGAGGCGCGACAGCGUGGGGAGCAAACAGG